rnacentral:rRNA from 1 species
CAGCAGCCGCGGGAAUACGUAGGGUGCAAGCGUUAAUCGGAAUUACUGGGCGUAAAGCGUGCGCAGGCGGUUUGUUAAGACAGAUGUGAAAUCCCCGGGCUCAACCUGGGAACUGCAUUUGUGACUGGCAGGCUAGAGUAUGGCAGAGGGGGGUGGAAUUCCGCGUGUAGCAGUGAAAUGCGUAGAUAUGCGGAGGAACACCGAUGGCGAAGGCAGCCCCCUGGGCCAAUACUGACGCUCAUGCACGAAAGCGUGGGGAGCAAACAGGAUUAGAUACCCCGGUAGUCCCUGUCUCUUAUAC